GGCUUGUUGAUUAUAAUUCCAAGUCUAACCUGCCCAAUGAGUAGUUAAAUGGCCGCGGUAUAUUGACCGUGCAAAGGUAGCAUAAUCAUUAGUUUUUUAAUUGGAAGCUGGAAUGAAAGGUUGGAUGAGAAAAUUACUGUCUCUAUAAAAGUUUGUUAGAAUUUUAUUUUUAAGUGAGAAAGCUUAGAUUUUCAUAGAAGACGAGAAGACCCUAUAGAGUUUUAUAUUUUUAUUAUUGGCUAAUUUUAUGGAUUUAGGUAAGUUAGUUUUUUAAAAUUUAUUUUGUUGGGGUGAUGGGAAAAUUAAAUAAACUUUUUCUUUUUUUUUACACUAAUUUGUGGGCGCAAGAUCCUAAAUUUUAGAUUACAAGACUAAAUUACCUUAGGGAUAACAGCGUAAUUUUUUUUAGAGUUCUUAUCAAAAAGAAAGAUUGCGACCUCGAUGUUGGAUUAAAAUUUAUUUCUGGUGAAGAUGCUAGGAGUUUAGGUCUGUUCGACCUUUAAAAUUUUACAUGAUCUGAGUUUAGACCGGUGUGAG
rnacentral:rRNA from 1 species